rnacentral:rRNA from 1 species
AAAGUUGGCCGAAGAGGGUGAAAGCCCCGUAUACGAAGGUUUGAUGAGGAACUAGGCACGCGAACAAGUAGGCCGGGACACGUGAAAUCCUGGUUGAAGAUGGGUGGACCAUCAUCCAAGGCUAAAUACUACUUACUGACCGAUAGUGAACCAGUACCGUGAGGGAAAGGUGAAAAGAACCCCGGAGAGGGGAGUGAAAUAGAAUCUGAAACCGUUUGCGUACAAGCAGUGGGAGCAUGGUUUAGGCUGUGUGACUGCGUACCUUUUGUAUAAUGGGUCAGCGAGUUACUUUCAGUGGCGAGGUUAACUGAAUAAGGGAGCCGUAGAGAAAUCGAGUCUGAAUAGGGCGAUAGUCGCUGGGAGUAGACCCGAAACCGGGCGAUCUAGCCAUGUGCAGGAUGAAGGUUGGGUAACACCAACUGGAGGUCCGAACCGGGUAAUGUUGAAAAAUUAUCGGAUGACGUGUGGCUAGGAGUGAAAGGCUAAUCAAGCCCGGAGAUAGCUGGUUCUCCCCGAAAGCUAUUUAGGUAGCGCCUCGUGAAUGAUUACUGGGGGUAGAGCACUGUUUCGGCUAGGGGGCUGUCAUGGCUUACCAAACCGAUGCAAACUCCGAAUACCGGCUAAUUGAAUCACGGGAGACACACGGCGGGUGCUAACGUCCGUCGUGGAGAGGGAAACAACCCAGACCGCCAGCUAAGGUCCCCAAGUACUAGUUAAGUGGGAAACGAUGUGGGAAGGCAUAGACAGCCAGGAGGUUGGCUUAGAAGCAGCCACCCUUUAAAGAAAGCGUAAUAGCUCACUGGUCGAGUCGGCCUGCGCGGAAGAUGUAACGGGGCUAAAACUAGUCACCGAAGCUGCGGAUGUGCGCGAAGGCGCACGUGGUAGGGGAGCGUUCUGUAGGCUGAUGAAGGUGCAUUGAGAAGUGUGCUGGAGGUAUCAGAAGUGCGAAUGCUGACAUGAGUAACGAUAAUGUGGGUGAAAAGCCCACACGCCGGAAGUCCCAGGUUUCCUGCACGACGUUAAUCGGAGCAGGGUGAGUCGGCCCCUAAGGCGAGGCUGAAGAGCGUAGUCGAUGGGAACCAGGUUAAUAUUCCUGGACUUUUUAUAAGUGGUGAAGUGGGGACGAAGAAGGCUAGGUGAGCCAGGCGUUGGUUGUCCUGGUACUUGCAUGUAGGGGGGAAGACUUGGCAAAUCCGGUUUUCCAUAACUCUGAGGUGCGAAGUGGUUCUGACCUUUUGGUACAGAGAAGUCAUUGAUGCCCGGCUUCCAGGAAAAGCUGCUAGCCAUAACUUAUAGAGAACCGUACCGCAAACCGACACAGGUGGACAGGUAGAGAAUACUAAGGCGCUUGAGAGAACUCGGGUGAAGGAACUAGGCAAAAUGGUACCGUAACU